rnacentral:rRNA from 1 species
GAUGAACGCUGGCGGCGUGCUUAACACAUGCAAGUCGAACGAGAAGUGAAGACGGAAACCUUCGGGCGGAAGGCUUUAUUUCGAGUGGCGGACGGGUGAGUAACGCGUGGGUAACCUGCCUCAUACAGGGGGAUAACAGUUGGAAACGACUGUUAUUACCGCAUAAGACCACAGCACCGCAUGGUGCGGGGGUAAAAACUCCGGUGGUAUGAGAUGGACCCGCGUUCGAUUAGCCAGUUGGCGGGGUAACGGCCCACCAAAGCGACGAUCGAUAGCCGAUCUGAGAGGAUGACCGGCCACAUUGGGACUGAGACACGGCCCAAACUCCUACGGGAGGCAGCAGUGGGGAAUAUUGCACAAUGGGGGAAACCCUGAUGCAGCGACGCCGCGUGAGUGAAGAAGUAUUUCGGUAUGUAAAGCUCUAUCAGCAGGGAAGAAAAUGACGGUACCUGAGUAAGAAGCCCCGGCUAACUACGUG